rnacentral:rRNA from 1 species
GGUGAGUAACGCGUAUGCAACCUUCCUGUAUCGGGAGGAUAGGCCUUGGAAACGAGGAUUAAUACUGCGUAAAAUUAUUGUAUCGCAUGGUAUAAUAAUCAAAUCUACGGAGGAUACAGAUGGGCAUGCGUGCCAUUAGCUAGAUGGUAAGGUAACGGCUUACCAUGGCAAUGAUGGCUAGGGGUUCUGCAAGGAAGAUCCCCCACACUGGUACUGAGACACGGACCAGACUCCUACGGGAGGCAGCAGUGAGGAAUAUUGGUCAAUGGAGGCAACUCUGAACCAGCCAAGCCGCGUGAAGGAAGACUGUUCUAUGAAUUGUAAACUUCUUUUGUGACAGAGUAAAGAUAGCUACGCGUAGUUAUUUGCAAGUAUGUCAUGAAUAAGCAUCGGCUAACUCCGUGCCAGCAGCCGCGGUAAUACGGAGGAUGCAGGCGUUAUCCGGAUUUAUUAGGUUUAAAGGGUGUUCAGGCUGUCUGGUAAGUCAGAGGUGAAAGUCGGUUGCUUAACGAUCGAAUUGCCUUUGAAACUGUCAGACUUGAGUAUGGAUGUGGUAGGCGGAAUGUGUAGUGUAGCGGUGAAAUGCAUAGAUAUUACACAGAACUCCAAUUGCGAAAGCAGCUUACCAAACCAGCACUGACGCUGAAGCACGAAAGCGUGGGUAGCGAACAGGAUUAGAUACCCUGGUAGUCCACGCAGUAAACGAUGCUCACUCGCUGUUGGCAAUACACCGUCAGCGGCUAAGGGAAACCGAUAAGUGAGCCACCUGGGGAGUACGAUCGCAAGAUUGAAACUCAAAGGAAUUGACGGGGGCCCGCACAAGCGGUGGAACAUGUGGUUUAAUUCGGUGAUACGCGAGGAACCUUACCUGGGCUUAAAUGUGAAGUGCAUUGUUUGGAAAUAGACAUUUCCUUCGGGACUCUUUACAAGGUGCUGCAUGGUUGUCGUCAGCUCGUGCCGUGAGGUGUCGGGUUAAGUCCCAUAUCGAGCGCAACCCGUAUUGUUAGUUACCAGCGCGUCAAGGCGGGGAGUCUUAUGAGACUGCCGGUGUAAACCGCGAGGAAGGGGGGGAUGACGUCCAAUCAGCACGUCCUUUAUGUCCAGGGGUACACUCGUGUUACAAUGGUCGGU